UUUGUUUUUCAUUUUAUCUUUUCCUUUUUAUUUAUUUUCUUUUUAUGUUUUCUCUUUGUUUCCUAUUGUUUUAGUUUUUUGUAAAAUAUAUACUUGGCAUCUAAUUUAGUAUUUCAAUUUAGUCCAAUGUCACAAAAAAGUCUAGUCCCCAAAUAAUUUGGUUUGAUAUUUUAUUAAUUAGUAAAGGCAUUCAUAAUUAGGUUUGCUACUACUUAAAUCAUUUUAGUGCAGUUAAGCAUUCCAUAAAAGUUUGGUUUCACCACCAUAAUCACCUAUGCAUUAUCUGGCAUGACCUGAACAUUUUAGUUUCAUUGUUUGAAAACUUUUGUUGUUUGCCUGAUUAUUAAUUUGAAUUCGAAUCGGUUUCAAACUAACUCAAGAUUAGCAACAGUAAUCGAGGUGACAUGGCAUCAUUAGCAGAGGUUCACUGUAGCUUAAGUAUCCGGGUGUCACAAUUCUCCUCCACUACAAGAAAUCUUGUCCCGAGAUUUAAGAGGUUCGGUAAGGGGGAAAGUUCCGGUUACGAAUUUCUAACGAAUAUUCUCAGUCUUGGUUGCUCUUCUCAAAGAGGUCGAUCCAUUAUGUUGAUGUCUUAAUUUCUCUGCUUCAGGUCAUCAUGAUGAAGUCGGCAUCCUUUCUUCAGGAACUUGUAACGCCCCGAGACCGACGCUUCAGAAGCGUCCUUAUUUUUCGUGAUCUCCGCGUGUUUCUUUUGGUGCUUGCUCUUUUAUUUUUGCAUUGCAUCAUGUCAUCAUGCCAUCAUGUCUUUAAUCUUUGCAUCAAGCUCAACUAAAUAAAUUGCAUGGAUCUUUGAUCCAUUUAAAUCGAGGGAAUUCACAUGGUGAUUUCUCUUUAUAACAUAUCCUCCUAAUAAUUAUGGAGCUAUUAUAAAUAUUCCAUUAAUUGGAGUUCACCUUAACACACGUGCAAAAUUAAUCCUAUGCCUUUUCUGCUUUGAGUCGAUCUCUCUAACCUUGCCAAUAAUUCUUUUCCCAUUUGUCGAGGCUCUUCCUAAAUUCCUAACAUUUUUGGCCACUCCUAAACCUUGUCCUAGUUCAAAUCAUUUGAAUUUAAAUCAAAUGAGUUUGAAUUUAAAUCUUUCAAUCAUGGCCUUUUCUAUUUUCUCGGAACAAGCACAUUUUUAUGAGUCCGGGAAAAUAGCCUCUUGCCCAAAUCCUUCCCCUAACCCCUUUCUUUUCUCUCCUUUCUUUCAUUGCGAUUUUCUGUUUUUCGGAAAGGUUUUGAAAGAAUUAAGGGGGGGUGGAGAGAGAUCCAGCGCAGCCCAACUCCUCCUGACCUUUCCCCUCUUCACCGAGAUGGCCCAAGGCCCAGCCGCCGCACCCCUACCUAACCCUAGCCCGACCAGCGCUCGAUCCCCAUCUCUCCCUCUCGUCCCUUCCUCCAGCGCCACCAUCUCCCUCGUUCGCCCGAUCCCCAUCUCCCUCUCGUCUCCUCCCUCGCGCUACCUCCCACACAGAAAGAGAGAGGAGCAGAGCCUCGCGCUCCUCCCUCCUCUCGAUCUCUCCCUCCACUCUCUCCCUCGCGCCGCCACUCUCAGGGACGAGCCCGUCUUCUCCUUCCCAAGACCGCCGCCGGCGCCCUGAGCCCUCCGCUCCGCUGUGCCUCCUCCCCUCUGCAGGCCCCCUCUCAUGGCGCCGCCAGCCUCCAGGAGCUCCCCCUCUCAAGCUUCCUCACCGCCGCCUCUCCUCCUGCUUCUCCUCGUCGCCACCAUCCCGCUUUGAGCUCUGCCAUCACCGCGUCCUCCCUCUGCCUCCUCGCCAUGGCCCUCGCGAGCUUCCUUCCGCGCCGCCACUGGAGGCCAACUCCGGCGCCCCCUGCCUCCUCGACCUCCUGACCCCCUCACGCCGAAGCCGCACGGGAGACGAGCUCCCUGCAGCAGCGCCCGACCUCGCGCUCGUCUCUUCGCCCGGACGGCCGCCUCGUCCGCAUCUACCUCGCCGUCGCCGGAGUUCCAAGCCGCAUCGCUGUGUCCUUUGCUUCGUCCUGCUGCUGCCCGUUCCCCUGCUUCACCUGCUUGAGCCGCCGCUGCUCUGCUUCCUAUCGAGCAGAGGAGCUCGCUCGCCCGCUCGUUCGCCUGUGCGUGGCCGCCCAGAUGGGCCACAUCGCUGCCCCGAGCGCCCCUGUCCUCGAGCACCUGUUGACUUCGGUUACUAUCAAGCGCUCUGACCCGUUGCUGCCAUGGCCUUGCAUCCAUCUGGCCCUGUUGUGUUCAUGGAGCCACUGUACAAUGCCCAAGACCGAGACCCAUGAACGUCAAGUUCUUCCACGACGCCCGAACGAUUACAGGCCGAAACGCCAAGUCCCACUUCAACAAGUGUACCUCUACUUCGGAUUCACCAAGUACCCCUUCGGAUGCGCCUAGUUCGACUACAUGGACCACCAAGUUCCUCUACCGUCGACCCAAACAUCUACGAACCGUGUACGUCUACCGUCGCCGUGGAUCCGACAAGAUCCGUGUACAACUACUACCCCCACGACACAUGAACAACUACUUCCACUUCGAACGCGUUCCGCCCCGAAUGGAUGCUUCGAAGGUAUAACCCCGAGACAAUGACCCGUGGACGAGCGCUUGUGAUGUGUUGUAUGAGAUGCCCGUGUUUGCACCAUGUCCGAAUUGGUCCUUGCAGUUCCUCGUUUCCUUGCCACCGUCAUGUGGGAACCCGGUAACCGGGAUCACCCCACCAUCGUUCGCAUGUUCCGUUCAUCCACAGUUUCUUUUGCACCGACAUCUCGACGAGUUGUCGGAUCACCGUUAUGUUGCCGUGGCAUCAUUUUCGGAUUCGUUGCCGUGGCACCCCUUUCUUCCACCACGGUAACAAAUGCCUCGUAUCAUUUUAUACCAACACUUUCAUAAAAUUGCAUAUACCUUGCAUAUGUCAUCCGCAUCAUGAUAACAACAUUUAAAUGUUUAAAAUUGUGUUUGUUUUAAAUUGCUAAAUGACAUAUGGGGAUUUUCCGGAAUUGUUAUUUGUUAUUUCCGGCCUCAUUUAAACUUGCCUAGAUAGGUUGUUUAAUUAUGCUUCACCUCUUGCCAUGCUUAAUAACAUUUAAUAUUGUUGGGUACAUAACCGAGAGAGACUAAAUAAUUGAUGUGGUGUUUCAUCAAUAUGCAACUCGUUGCAUAUUGAGCUCCACUUAAUUUGUAGUGUUGUUUGUGGCACUUUGCCAUGCCAUGCCUCAUUAAACCGGACAUGCAUCAUACUUGAUUGUGCAUCAUGCCAUGUUUAUGUGAUGGUUGUUUACCAUGAUGUUUGCUUCUUUCUGGUUGCGCUUCUCCUUGGUAGUUCCGGUAACGUUGCGAUUGUGAGGAUCCAUUCGACUACGUUGGUUCGUCUACUUCAUGGACUCGUUCUUCUUCCUUGCGGGAACUCAGGCAAGAUGACCAUACCCUCGAAAUCACUUCUAUCUUUGCUUGCUAGUUGUUCGCUCUAUUGCUAUGCCGCGCUACCUACCACUUGCUAUAUCAUGCCUCCCAUAUUGCCAUGUCAAGCCUCUAACCCACCUUUUCUAGCAAACCGUUGUUUGGCUAUGUUACCGCUUUUGCUCAGCCCCUCUUAUAGCGUUGCUAGUUGCAGGCGAAGAUGAAGUUUGUUCCAUGUUGGAACAUGGAUAUCUUUGGGAUAUCACAAUAUCUCUUAUUUAAUUAAUGCAUCUAUAUACUUGGUAAAGGGUGGAAGGCUCGGCCUUAUGCCUGGUGUUUUGUUCCACUCUUGCCGCCCUAGUUUCCGUCAAACCGGUGUUAUGUUCCUUGAUUUUGCGUUCCUUACGCGGUUGGGUGAUUUAUGGGACCCCCUUGAUAGUUCGCUUUGAAUAAAACUCCUCCAGCAAGGCCCAACCUUGGUUUUACCAUUUGCUACCACCAAUCCCCUUUUCCCUUGGGUUCUGCAGACUCAAGGGUCAUCUUUAUUUUAGACCCCCCGGGCCAGUGCUCCUUCGAGUGUUGGUCCGAACCGAGCUGCCUGCGGGUCCACCUUGGGGAAACUUGAGGGCUGGUUUUACUCGUAGCUAGUCUCAUCCGGUGUUGCCCUGAGAACGAGAUAUGUGCAGCUCCUAUCGGGAUUUGUCGGCACAUCGGGUGGCUUUGCUGGUCUUGUUUUACCAAUAUCAAAAUGUCUUGUAAACCGGGAUUCCGAGACUGAUCGGGUCUUCUCGGGAGAAGGAAUAUCCUUCGUUGACCAUGCGAGCUUAUAAUGGGCUAAGUUGGGACACCCCUGCAGGGUAUUAUCUUUUGGAAGUCGUGCCCGCGGUUAUGUGGCAGAUGGGAAUUUGUUAAUGUCCGGUUGUAGAGAACUUGACACUCGACUUAAUUAAAAUACAUCAACCGCGUGUGUAGCCGUGAUGGUCUCUUCUCGGCGGAGUCCGGGAAGUGAACACGGUUUCUGGGUUAUGUUUGACGUAAGUAGGAGUUCAGGAUCACUUCUUGAUCAUUGCUAGUUUCACGACCGUUCCUUUGCUUCUCUUCUCGCUCUUAUUUGCGUAUGUUAGCCACCAUAUAUGCUAGUGCUUGUUGCAGCUCCACCUCACCACCCCUCUUCCUUCCUAUAAGCUUAAAUAGUCUUGAUCUCGCGGGUGUGAGAUUGCCGAGUCCUCAUGACUCACAGAUACUUCCAAAACAGUUGCAGGUGCCGAUGAGACCAGUGCAGAUGACGCAACUGAGCUCAAGUGGGAGCUCGAUGAAGAUCUUGUUCAUUACUAUGUUUCUUUUCAUGUUGAUCAGUAGUGGUGCCCAGUUGGGACGAUCAGGGAUCUAGCAGUUGGGUUGUCUUCUUUUCUUUUGGUUCCAUAGUCGGACCUAUGUGUGUAUCUUGAAUGAUGUAUGAAUUUAUUAUGUAUUGUGUGAAGUGGCGAUUGUAAGCCAACUCUUUAUCCCAUUCUUGUUCAUUACAUGGGAUUGUGUGAAGAUGACCCUUCUUGCGACAAAACCACAAUGCGGUUAUGCCUCUAAGUCGUGCCUCGACAUGUGGGAGAUUAAGCCACAUCGUGGGCGUUACAGAACUCCAUCGUCCUUAUGAAAAAAUAAAGGGUGGGUAUUCAGGGAGAACGGCCUUUGCAAGGUUGACUAUCUGGUUGACAACAUCUAGGAAGGUAGAGAAAAGUAACUCUCGAAUUGAAACUUAAGAAAAUAUCGAGAGCAAAGUAAGGAGGUGUCAUGGAAAGUUUCGAGCGGGUAGGCAAUCGCUCGAUGCCUAAUCUGAAGGAGAAAGGGUUUUCACGGCGACAAGAAUAAGUAUUGCGUCUAAUACCAGAAUAGAUCACUAGGAAGGUGGCUCGCGAAUUACCUAUGAAGUCAGGCGCGAGGAAUAUCUUUGGCAACCGGGGUGUACAUGAGAGUCAGGUUUUGAUCCUGGGACAUGUGGGUUAUGGGCCCACCAUGUGGGUUAAAAGUAGGAAGGGUGGUGACGUCCUGCACGAUCAUGUAAGCAAGGCAUGUCAGAGGAUAGCAUGUCAGUUAAGUUGGCAACAACAUCGGUACCAAGGGCGAGGGACGAAGAGAACCAUUUUUCUGCUCGUUGAACGAGGUGGGCCAUUAGGCAAAGUUCUCAUCCAUCGGUGGCUACCGGAAUGUCAUCAACAAUAGUAACAGGGUCUUACUGACACGGUUGUACACUAAGGUGUUUACAUAAGUAGAAAAAUAUUACUGCUUAGAUCAUAUAGAUCACAAGAAAGGUUAAACAAAACAAUGGAAAGGAAAAUGUGUUUAAACACAUAUGUCAGGGGUAUAUCCUUCCCAAAGUCAAGUAGAGCAUGAUAUCCAAGAGAGGAUAUACAGUAGAUAACCCUUUAGGUAAGGGGAGAGAAAUUUCAUGACAUUACCCAUACAACGAUGUUUGGGUAAUUUGAACAAGAAACAAUUAGCAUGGUGCUUCAAAUGUUCUUAAUGAAAAUCGGAGUACCAUAGACGUGCUUCGAGAAAGCAUAGACAUGGUCUUCAAGUAAAGAUCGGACCUUGGAUACACAAAGGAUCCAUAGGGAUCAACUUAUAGAAUAAGUCUUACAAUUCCCUCAUGGAAGAAUGAGUAACCUUGCUAAAAAGGGAACUACUACAAUAGGUCCUCCAGGCAGGUGUGCUUGGCAUGACAUCACCUUACCGGGUCAUAUAAAGACCAAUGUUAAAACUCUUGGAAAUAUGCUCCAACCAUCAUAUCUGACCGAGAUUCCGAUCUGAUAGGUGUUAGGAUACCUCAGACUCAGGAUGUCUGAGAAGGAAAAUGUGCAACACAAAUUGACGGGAUGACAUUGUAAGAUUCUCGGGAAAUGAACUAUGGAAGCAAGUUCCAAAACAAGAGCCCAUCAUUAACUAUGGAGAAGAUGAGGAGUUAGCUGAUGGACUCAGCUACAAUUCAUCAAGAUUUACAAAAUAUGGAUUUCCACAAUUAUGUGAACAAGGAGAUAACAUUUGUCAUAUCAAAUGAUAUAAUGAUGUAUGCUAGAGGAAAAACAUACACAAUUAAACAUUGGCUGAAAGGUGCACCCGAAAUAUGGGCUUAGGUAGUACGAUCAAUGUUAGAAUGGUGAUUCGAUAACGAAUGGCCUAAGAAUGUAAUGUCGACCAUUAACUUCAAAGCAAUAGGGUUGCUAGAACUUUUGAACUCGCACAUCAUAGUUCAAUUGUCGGUUUUCCGGUUAGAAACAACACGGGGACCAAGAAAUGAACGGGGAUGGCGAGAAGUAAUACUAUAAGAAGAAUUCUUAAGAGGUGGAGCAUUCCUCGCAACAUCCUUGACAUAAAAGAUGGUAAUACUUCAAGGUAGAGCAUAUUACAAGCUGGAUAGCAAGGAACUCAAGGUACAACACAAAUUGUGAACCAGUUUUGUGUGGCGGAAAUGCAAGAAUGUUGUCGAUGUUAACACAACCAUCGAGGGGGCAAGGAUGAUAUCUCUCAUCAUGAAUUCGAUUGAUAUCCUAGAAACGCUCAGAAUGUUGAUGAUGAUCACGACACAUUUGUCGAGAGGUUUCAUGAAGAUGUAAUCGGUCGGCGAUGACAUCAAGUCAAAGGAAUGAUGAAGCAAAAGGUUAAUGGAACCAUGGGUAUGACACAAACUCAAAAUCAAGCUCGUUGUUCAAGGCAAAAUGAUAUGAUGAGAAAGAUCAACGUAAGCUUAGCUCAUCGUCGAAAGUUGUGCUUAGGGAUUAAGGACCAGGUAGCACAGUUAAAAUCGGCACGAUAAUGACAUAGCUGUGCAUGCUAGGAAUGACGUGAUCGAGUUCAAACUCGUAAGUAAUGAAGGUUACCAAGAGUUGUUUAAUCGCGGUGCAGACUCGAUUCAAUUAUCGAUGUCUUUGAGUGUUUAAUAACUCAGAGCUCGUGAAAAAAAUGGAAUCAGUGAGAAUGCGGUACUUGAGGAAGAACUCAUAAGAAGUUAUGCAGUUCCGUGAUAAUCUCGAGAUACCAUGGGGGUAAUACUCGACGACAGAUCAAAGUAGAGUUUGGACUGGGAUAUUGCUCUAUGGAAGACAAGUGCUUAAACUUGCAUGAGAAAUGGUAUUUAAAGGAGAACAUGGUCGGAACCACGAUUGCAAAGGAUCAAUACACCGAUACCAGAAGAUAUUAUGUCAAGGAAAUAAUUAUUGUUAGAAGAAACUUCCAUGAUAGAAUCUACAUCGUGUCCAUGGGCUUGAACACAAAGUUCAAGGUCGACUCCCACUUCUUCAAUGCAUAACCUUUCAUUCACUGCUCUACUAAAAAUGAUUUGAGUGCGAAGAUCUACCUGGUGAAUUUCCAAAGGAGUAUGACCCGUGAAAACUUUCGGGUUCACACAGAUUAAGGAAGGCAUAGGUUCAAGCCAUCGGGGCUUCUUAGAACAUAUACCAUGAACUUCAGGAGUAAAUAACACAAGCUCAAAAGUAGAGCAUGGUUGACAAAGCAAAGGAUACAAUUUACCAAAGGCAUUAUAUACCCGUGGAAAGGCUCACAAGUUUAUUGAAUAUGAAGGACGAUGUCGGAUGAAAUCCAACAAUGGAUCAGGUGAUCCACAACGGAGCUGAUGUGAGUAUCGGUACUCAAUCAGAGGAAGAAAGAAUGCAAGGGCAUCAGAUUAUAGAACAUCUGAAUAAUUCGAUGCUUAGAUAACAAAGGAAUUAUGAUUUCCAAAACGAAGGAUCAGAAGUAGAUGCUCUGAUCAAGGAUGGAUAAACUGAAUAGACCAGAGGCACAAUCGACGACAAAUAGUUUGGUCGAGAACCAACUCAUGUUCAAAAUGACGUCUGAGCCGGAAAGAUAAUUUUGAAGGGUCGAUUGAUGAUUGUGUGCAUUCGCACACAUGUUGAAUCAAUAGGAUCAAAAUGACGGUGUCAAAAGAUACUAGUGAAUAUUGCUAGUGAUAUGGGAGCAUCCAUAAUGUAAGCAUACAAGUAUUUUCAGAGCAAUAGUUCGAAGAGGAUGCUCAGAAGGUCAGAUAGUAUUUCAGAGUAUCUUAUGAAGCAUACGAACAUCUGGGGAUGAACGGAUACUCGAUAAGUGCGAGGAAUUUUCAAUAGGGGUAUUCAUGUGGUAAAGAAUUGCAAGGCAGUAAGAUCAAAGGAUUUUCGGAACAAUGAAGAGCAGUUCAGGGCAUCUUGUAAUAACAAGAGCAACUGGGGAUGAAUGUAUGAACGACAAUUGUAGGUAGUUAUCCAUAAGGGUAUAUCGGUGGUAGGGAAUUGUAAAGUCGGUGGGCACAGGGGUCUCGGGAAAACCUCGGAGAGUAUCUUCUGACUCUUCUGGUGAAGCAAGCGGCCGUCCAGAACAAGGGGCUCUCCGGGAGAAAGUAUUUACGAGAACCUAGAGUUAGAGUUAGCAAAAUCAUUUAACUCGAAUAGAAGAGAGAUCAGAGUCCCAGAGUAUAGACGAGAAGUAAAAGAUCCUAAUACCACCCAAUGGCGACGUGGGCCCGUAAGCCACACAACCAUGUUAGUAAUGUUUUUUUAAUGACUAGACUCAACUUUGGCCAAGGAGUUUGGAAGGGGGAUUCCUACAGGCAGUCGGCUCUGAUACCAACUUGUGACGCCCCCGAUUCAAUCGUACACUAAUCAUACACGCAAACGUGUACAAUCAAGAUCAGGGACUCACGGGAAGAUAUCACAACACAACUCUAAAAUAAAAUAAGUCAUACAAGCAUCAUAAUACAAGCCAGGGGCCUCGAGGGCUCGAAUAUAAGUGCUCGAUCAUAGACGAGUCAGCGGAAGCAACAAUAUCUGAGUACAGACAUAAGUUAAACAAGUUGCCAUAAGAUGGCUAGCACAAACUGGGAUACAGAUCGAAAGAGGCGCAUGCCUCCUGGUUGGGAUCCUCCUAAACUACUCCUGGUCGUCAGCGGCCUGAACGUAGUAGUAGGCACCCUCGGUGUAGUAGGGGUCGUCGUUGAUGGUGGCUAUAGCUCCUGGGCUCCAACAUCUGGUUGCGACGUCCGAGAAGAAGAGGAAAAAGGGGGAAAAGAGGGACAAAGCAACCGUGAGUACUCAUCCAAAGUACUCGCAAGCAAGGAUCUACACUACAUAUGCAUGGGUAUUUGUGUGAAGGGGCAAUAUCGGUGGACUGAACUGCAGACUGCCAGAUUAAGAGGGGGAUAGCUAGUCCUGUCGAAGAUUACGCUUCUGGCAGCCUCUAUCUUGCAGCAUGUAGAAGAGAGUAGAUGGUAAGUUCAGCAAGUAUCAUCGCAUAGCAUAAUCCUACCCAGUGAUCCUCCCCUCGUCGCCCUGUGUGAGAGCGAUCACCGGGUUAUAUCUGGCACUUGGAAGGGUGUGUUUUAUUAAGUAUCCGGUUCUAGUUGUCAUAAGGUCAAGGUACAACUCCGGGUCGUCCAUUUACCGAGGGACACGGCUAUUCGAAUAGAUAAACUUCCCCCAGGGGUGCACCAGAUUACCCAACACGCUCGAUCCCCUUUGGCCGGACACACUUUCCUGGGUCAUGCCCAGCCUCGGAAGGUCAACACAUCGCAGCCCUACCUAGGCACAACAGAGAGGUCAGCACACCGGUCUAAAUCCUAUGGCGCAGGGGUCUGGGCCCAUCGCCCAUUGCACACCUGCACGUUGCGAGGGCGGCUGGUGAGUAGACCUAGCAACCUCCAUUACAAUGGGAGUUGCGUUAUGCGGUCCAACCCAGCGUGCGCCGCUCAGUCGCUGACGUCAAGAAGGCUUCGGCUGAUACCACGACGUCGAGUGCCCAUAACUAUUCCCGCGUAGUUGGUUAGUGCGUAUAGACUAGUGGCCAGACUCAGAUCAAAUACCAAGAUCUCAUUAAGCGUGUUAUUUUGAAGUAACCGCGAACAUCGACCAGGGCCAGGCCCACCUCUCACCUAGGUGGUCUCAACCUGCCCUGUCGCUCCGCCACAAAGAUCCACCCAGAGGGCCGUCAGGACAAAGGUCCUUUCAGCCCCCAAUCCGUGAAUCACUCGCGGGUACUCUACGAGCCGACCCGACUUUAGUCACCACAUGUAUCAUAUAUUAUGUAUAUAAGUAUAUACCCGUGAUUACCUCUCGAGUGAUCACGGCCCGAUAGUAUAGCAUGGCAGACAGACAAGAAUGUAGGGCCACUGAUGGAAUACUAGCAUCCUAUACUAAGCAAUUUAGGAUUGCAGGUAAGGGUAACAACUGUAGCUACAAUGACAGGCUAUGCAGCAGAAUAGGAUUAACCGAAAGCAGUAACAUGCUACACUACUGUAAUGCAAGCAGUAGAGAGAAGGAAUAGGCGAUAUCUGGUGAUCAAGGGGGGGCUUUCCUGGUUGCUCUAGGAAGGAGGGUUCGUCACCAACGUAGUCGAUCAGGGCACCAGCAGCAGCGUCAGUCUCGUAAUCUACCUGAGAGAAGAGGGGGAAGAAACAAUGAAUACAAUGCAAACAGAUGCAUAAUGAUGCAUGACAUGUCAAGUAACGGUGCUAGGAGUGCCCUAACACGGUAGGAGGUGAUACCGGCAAAGGGGGAAAACAUUCGGGAAAGUAUCCCCGGUGUUUCGCGUUUUCGGACAGAUGAACCGAAAGUUCCAUGUUCGCUAUGCAAGGAUGUGUGGCAGACAAACGGAGGGCAUAUUCGGAUUCUACCUUUUUUUUGAUCAUUUUUCAUAUAUAAAACCUUUUCAUCUGAGUUACGGAUUAAUUUCUAUGAUUUUUAAAAGUUUUAACCUUUUCUGGAAAUUCCUGGGAUUAAACUUAAUGUCACACCCAGUGUUUUGUUACAAGUCACUUGCAUUAAUAAAGCAUGAAAAUUUGGACCAACAAAAAAACUUUUGCAUCAUUUGGCUUUUAUUUUUGGAGUUGGUUUUCUCUAUGUGAUUUUCAAGUGCUCAUUAAAGUCAACACACCUCCACCUUCUAUACUUCAUCUCCUUGCCCCAAACUUCUUCCCAAUGAUCAUGCCAUGUGUAUAGUGCUAUAUGGUAUUUUCUUACAAAAAUAAUUUGGCCAAAUGGUAUUUUCUAAAUUUAGUUUUCAAAAAACCCCUGAAUUGAGGUUUGCACUACAAGCACUUGAUUUGGGGUAUGAAAAAUAUUUCAAAGAGUAUAUUUGAAACCUAUUGGGUAUAAGACUCCCAUAAACCACAAAAAUAUAAUUUUAAAAUAUAUUUUGCUAUUUUAGUUAAAGGCUUUUUCUUAAGGCCAGAAAUGGUUUUUAAUAGGUCAAUUUUAUUUAACUGUUUCAAAAAUAUUUGAGAACAUUCAGGAAAACUCACCGGACAUAUAUUGUCCAUAUUAAGAUUUUCAACACAUGGUCAUGUUCAAAAUAUUGGUCAAACCCCUCAAAAACCCUUUCUGGAUAUUUCAAGCUUUUGAAAUAUUUACAAAGAAAAUAUUCUCCAAAAAUUCCAAGAAAAUUCUAGCAAGUCACAUAUGUAUAAUAUGAUGACCUUGCAGAGUUUCAACUCAAUCCAAAUAGUUUUGGAUCACAUAAGUGCCCCAAAAUCCUCUCUGUCCAGAUUCAAGUUUGAACAACUUUACAUUGUCAACUUUCUUCUUUUUCUCUCAAACUUUGUGGGCACACUCAAAUACCCAAAUAAAGACACUACACCAAGUGGUGCAUCAAGGAUAAGAAAAUAGCUUAGUUAGAUCUAAGCAAAUCCAUUUCUGUUCAUUUCUAGGGUUUACAAAAGUUGCAUUGGCAACUUUACCCAAAUGAACUCAAAUUUGGUGGAACACCCUAUUUCUAUAUGCCAUUCCAUCAUGUUAAGUCUCAUGGCAAGUGUAAUUCAUUUUCUUGCCCAAACCAACAACUAACACCUUCUGCCACAUUUCCAAAAACACCAUUCUGACCCCUUCCACUAAUCUCCAUGGGCUCAAAGUUUUACCACAGCCCCUCCUAGACCCCCUCUAGCAACUGUAUGCUUUUAUACCCGAGAAAGCAAUGAUGAAGGGGGGAGAACCCCAUUUUUCUUCUCUGGACAGUGGAUUCCUCCCUCUCUCUCUCAGCCUCCUUCUCUCCCCUCAGCUUUCCAGAGCAUCCAAGGCUCUCCCCAGCUUUUGCCAACGCCCCCUUCAGCUUCCAGACGCAAGUGGACCCAAGGGGACGCGGGAAAACCGCGGAUGGCGGACGAAGUCGCGCUCUGGAGCGCUUGGCAGAGCACCCGACCAUUGACGCCGCGUCCCCCGACCACCUCGAGCCUCCCCCGGGCGCCAGUCAAUGCCCCUCGACGUCUGCUCCACGCCAGCAGGCGGCCCACUUAAUCGCGCGCCCUCCUCUCUCUCCUGUUGCUCGCGCCAGAGCACUGCCCCGCUCGGCCAAUGCUCGCGCUGCUCCUGUGGCCUGCUCCGGCGACCACCUCCACCACCACCCGGACGGCGACAUCCCCCUGAGUCCAACAGUGCCACCCGCUCGACCUGUCAUGCCCUGUAGCGUCGCCGGCCCCUCUGUUGCAGGGUUGAAGAUGACAGGCAGGCCCCGCCUGUCAUCCUCACUUCUCCCUAGCCCCUCUCUCUCUCGCUGACGCUCGGGCCCCGCCCGUCAGGUUUGAAUACCUGGCGUGGGCGCGCUGGCUCACUUGGGCCUCCUCCCCCUCUGGGACUGCUGCGCUGCGGCUGAUCUGGCCCAGAAGCACAGUGCCCUUUCUCUUUUUCUUUUCUGUCCCUUUUCCAAAAAUUCCACAGGAUUAGAUAUUAAUCCAGAUGCAAUAAUUCCAGUUCCUAAAUUCUUGUAAAAAUCUCACAUAUUUAAUGGUGUAACCUUCAUACGUGCCCAACCAACUUUUCUGUACUGUUCAAAUUUAAAUUCAAAUUUGAGAAAUUAAAUCCUUGUUUGAAAACCCAUUGCUCUGUCCCUGUAGCUCCAAAACCAAUACUAAGGAUUUCCCCAUUCUUAGUUUUCCUCCUAGUAUUUAACAAAAAUAGGUUGACAUUUUUGUGAGCACCUUGACUUUUCUAUUCUUAUUAUUGCCUUAUUUUCACGUUGUUUUUGUUGCGACGAAUAGAUCCCGCGUUUGAUGAAGUAGUUGGAGAAGAAGAGGGAGAAGGACUUGAAGUCUUUGAAGACCAAGCCAACCAAGGCAAGCAGCGCUUUGACCAUGAUUCACCCCUCUUGUUCAUCGAUAAAUUUUCCGUAUGCAUGAUGACGUUGUUGAAUAUGGACUUGAUAUAAUUGUUGCAUUGAUGCAUGCCCAUUUGUACUUGCAUGUUCGUAGCUCUACCUUGUGCUAGAGAUGCGAUGGAAAAUACUUGAUAUUGACGCAUGAUGUUGCAUCUAUGCCAUGACCAUCUCUUGAUUACAAACCUUUGAAAACCCCAACGGGUGCCCCUAAUGCCCGUGGGUGAUGUUGAACUAAGGUCACCACUUGAGGACGAAGUGGUGUACCAGAGAAAGAUUUUGUGUGAAUAGUAAAAUGAUGGAUUAGAUUUAGGUGUGAAUACCGUCCCAACCAAACAUGUGCAACCAAUCUACCCCUUAUGGGAUGGGGCAUUAUUCAUUACUUAGGCCGAUACUAGCAUGGUGCCCACAUUACUAGUGACGGGGGUGACAUGAGGUCACUCUCGGGACGGGGUCGUGCUCGGAUAGGCGGCCAUGACUGUUUUCACAGGGCACUGGACACAGCGUUGGUCCCUUCGUGUAUGCGUGUUAAUGUGAAAGGUUAGAGUCCCACGAUCUUUUAUUUAUACAUGAGGGCCGUGUACCAACGAGUGGACCCUAUGUUAGUGUCGUCUAGGGAAAUAUAAUGAUCGGGUGCUUCUCCCGAGUACUUGAGGUACUGCGGGAUCGUGGAUGACACAAAAGCUUCCCAGAUCUUGUGGGUAAAGUGCGCAACCUCUGCAGAGUGUCAAACUAUUCGAAUAGCCGUGUCCACGGUCAUAGACAGUUGGGUCGUGCUACUUAAACUAUGUCCAGAAAUUUUACGAACUUGGUACAUGUGUGUGAGAUUGAGAACCAUUUGAGUCAAUGCAGUUGACUUGACGUGUGGAAUGGGCUAGCAUUCAUCCAAACUCUAUUAUGUUGAUAUCUGUAACCUGUUCUCAAGGUUGCUAGAGUCCAUUGAUGCAUAAGUUUACUAGAUGAUAAGUCAUCACAACUAGCUUGAUACUAGGUUGCCUACUUGUUGAUAUACCUUGCAUUGUUACUUUGAUCCAAAACAUGGGUUGCUUGUAAGUACAUUCAAAGUACUCAUUGGCUUGCCACUGGUUAUUUAAUUGUCCAGGCAUGGAAGAGCGGGAGUUCGAAGAAGAAUUCUUCGGAGACGAACAUGCGAACUAGGACGUUUCCCAGUCAGAGUGCAUGUAGUGUUAAGGCAGAUGGCAUAGCUUCUACCUAAUAACGAAGAUUUCCGCUGCUUAAGUUUAUUUGGUAUUCAGCCCUUGUGGCCUUAUCUAUGUAAGACUUGACCAUAACGGUCAUAAUUUGUGUAAGACGAUAUGUAGGGAUGUAAGACUUUUUUUAUUCAGCUUCUGUGUGUUCAGUGAGCAUUGAUCUCUGGGAUCACUGUACACGUGCAUUCGGCGAUCACGACUGUAGGAAGCCUUAGUUCGCAUGGACGUUAGUUAGAGUGAGACUAUCUACAAAAUUACCUAUAUACCUACUUUUUCUAAAAAUAUCCCAAACAUGGGUCAUAUUUCCUCUAUUGACCCUUCCCCUUCCACUUUUGUAGAUGGCUGUCGUACCCGAGGACUUCCUGACCACUGGAUUUCUCGUGCUUCUUGAGGACAGCCUCAAGAGGUGCUAGUUCACUCGAGCCCCCACCUUCUCCUAUCAUGAGCACUAGAUCAACAACACCAAGAAGGAGUAUCACGUGGAGGUAGUCGUGAGGGCGAACGACUCUCCGACGAGCUGGUUCUUUGAAGGACCCCAGAUGGCAACCCUGCUCCUCGCCGUUGAGACUACUACACUCAAGGCGCUGACUCGCCUUCAGAAUCUUCUGCCAGAGAUGGCAAGUGAGCCAGCCACUCGUUACCUGCCUUAUCGUAAGGAGGGUGAUGACGAGAGCAGCGCACCAGCUCCACCCAUGGACGAAGGACUUCCCCUCCGUUUCCAGACCUACUUCAGCUUGUGUGCUUACAGCCUGGCACAUCACUUGGCCUCGGAGUCGAUGGAGCUUCGGAAGCAACUCCACGAGACCAAGGGACUCCUCCGCCUAGCUCAGACAAAGGCGGACAGGAUCAAGAAGGAUGGUGCACCCCCUGGACAGCCCGUUGUUGCCUAUCGAGGCGGGCGACCCCCACAGGUUACGCAUGCCAAGGGAUCAUCUCAGCCACGCCGUAUGAUGGCGAAGGACUAUCGCAACCUCUUCACGGUGCCACCGGCGAAGCAGCGCCGUGUUUAGCUCCUACACUCCCCCACUCCCUCAAGUGACGAAGAAACUGAGACGAAUGAAGAUGAGGAGGAAGACCCAGAGGAGCUGAAAUAUGCGAUCGAGCAUUCCACCACUUAGACACCGUUCAGGACUAGGAUAGGCCAGUCCGUAACCCUUAAGGUAGGAUAGGUCGUGUACCCCUUAUGCGAAGUCGAGUCCAUGUAAUGGUUCGAAUGAAACCAUGUUGCGAUGUGUUUGCUUUCGAAUUUUUUUGAUGGAAGUCGCACUUUCCCUUUGGGAACUUGUAAAUGACUACAUCACCCAUUUGGUUUUAAUGCAUGAGUUUGGCCCUUCUGGCCCUUGCUUAAUUUGAAAUUGUGCACACCCACCCCCUUACUAGGCGCCCAUCUACACUGUUUUCCCUCAUUUUAUCCCAAUCAUGAGACCUUGACCGCUCCAACAGGAUGCCUGUUGUAACUCGUACUGGUACCUCUACCCAGCAACAAGAAGCUGGAGGUUCUGUCGAAGCAGGAGCCAACCAGGACCAAGCCCGAGGACAGACUCCACCGCCACCACCUCCCCCGAACAUGGACAUGGCUCAGCUUCUCCAAGCCUUCCGACAGGAACGCCAAGCCAACACUGCAGCCCUCCAGAUGAUUGCUCAAGCUGUCACCAACAACCGCCAGCAGGCGGGGAACGGCAAUGGACAUUCCAUGUUGGCAGAGUUCAAGAACCAUGCACCACCCACCUUCAUCGAGACUGCCGAACCCCUGGAUGCAGACGACUGGGUCCGCACCAUUGAGGAUCUGUUGGAACUAGUCGGCCGCACUGAAGACCGUGAGAGGGUGGCAUAUGCCGCCCACUGUCUUGGGGGAACUUCCAGAGCUUGGUGGGAUGGAUUCAAGGUCAUGCAUGCUGGGCAAAAUAUCACUUGGAAUGACUUCAAGACGGAAUUCCGCAAGGCCCAUAUUCUUUCCGGAAUUAUGGCCAUCAAGAAACGUGAGUUCCGGGCCCUGAAGCAGGUAGGUAGCACUGUCAAGGAGUACAUGCAGAAGUUCAGUGUUCUGUCAAGGUAUGCCCCUGAAGAUGUCAGCACUGAUGCUGCCAAAAGAGAGCGCUUCAUGGAAGGCCUUAACCAGACUCUGUAGUACUCCCUUUUUGUGUGUGCCUGCCCAACCUUUCCUGAUCUGGUGAACAAGGCACUCAUGCUUGAAGACAAGCGACGUGCUUUGGAUGACACCCGUAAGCGCAAGAUGAUCAGCAAGGGUAGCUCCAGCAACCAGAAGCCUCGCCCGUGGCAGCCAGCCCCGGUUAAGCCAACCUAUCAGCAGCCAAGAGCCCCUGCACCUCGCACGAACUAUCAGCCUCAGCAGUACGCCAACCCCAGGCCAGACUACAACAACCCCAAUAACAGUGGUGGCAACAAGACCAACAACUCAAACCAAGUCACUUGCUUUGGAUCUGGUCAGUCCUGACACAUCUCAAGGGUGUGCCCCAACAGGAAGCCCGAUGCUCCGUGCCCCAAUGUGCAGAACCCAGGACAAGGCCGCGGGCUGCCACCAAGGAACCAAGCUUCCUGCAACCCGCCCAACAAUGGCAAGGGACGUGUGAAUCACGUCACUGCAGAAGAAGCUCAGGAAGACCCAGACGUCGUGCUGGGUACGUUCCUUGUCAAUUCAGCACCUGCAACUAUCUUGUUUGAUUCCGGAGCCACACAUUCAUUUGUCACCCAAAAGUUUGCAUUUAAAAGUGGCAUGACCCCUACACCCCUGAAUAACCCCAUGGUGGUACAAACCCCCGGAGCAGAGAUGAGAACCAAGAUAGGUUGUAAAGGAGUCGGAAUCAUCAUUAACGGGGUAGAUUUCCUAGUAGACCUUAUCAUCUUAAGAUCACAAGGCUUGGAUGUGAUCUUAGGAAUGGAUUGGCUCAUCAAGCACCAAGGUUUGUUAGAUUGUGCCAACCGGACUGUCAUAGUGACCAAUCACCAAGGAGUUGAAGUUAAGUUUGCUUCCAACCCCUCCUCUGCUCGAGACACCCAAGUCAAUUGUCUGUCUGAUGUUGGAUUGGAGCAAGUGCCAGUAGUAUGCAAGUACCCCGAUGUCUUUCCCGAUGAGCUACCGGGAAUGCCUCCUGACCGUGAAAUUGAGUUCAUUAUCGAGCUCAUGCUCGGAGUAGGACCCAUCUAUAAGAAGCCUUAUAGAAUGGGAACGGAGGAGUUAGCAGAAUUAAAGAAGCAACUAGCCGAGAAAUUGAGGAAAGGAUUCAUCCGUCCUAGUGCCUCACCUUGGGGAUCACCUGUUCUGUUUGUGGCAAAGAAGGACGGUACGAUCUGCUUGUGCGUUGACUAUCGCUCCCUCAAUGAAGUUACAAUCAAGAACAAGUAUCCACUUCCCAAGAUUCAAGAUCUGUUUGAUCAACUCAAUGGGGCCAAGAUGUUCUCCAAGAUCGACCUCAGAUCUGGGUACUACCAGCUGAAAAUCAGACCCCAAGAUAUUCCGAAGACGGCAUUUGUAACCAGAUAUGGCCUGUAUGAGUGCACGGUCAUGUCCUUUGGAUUGACCAAUGCCCCAGCUUACUUCAUGUAUCUCAUGAAUAAGGUCUUCAUGGAAUAUUUGGACAAGUUUGUUGUCAUCUUCAUUGAUGACAUUCUUGUCUUCUCGAAGACGGAAGAAGAGCACGAGCAACACUUGAGAAUGGUCCUAGACAAGCUUCGAGAGCACCAACUAUACGCCAAGUUCAGCAAGUGUGAAUUUUGGCUGCAUGAAGUUGGAUUCUUGGGUCACAAAUUGACUGCCGAAGGAUUGUCAGUGGAUCCCACCAAAAUUAAAGCCGUGACUGAAUGGCAAACCCCGAGCAAUGUGAAGGAAGUCAGAAGCUUCCUCGGACUUGCGGGAUAUUACCGCAUGUUCGUUGAAGGAUUCUCAAGCAUUGCCCGACCCAUGACCCAGCUCUUGAAGAAGGACAAGAAGUUUGAGUGGACGCCGAAGUGCGAAGAGAGCUUCCAGGAGCUGAAGAAGAGAUUGACCACUGCCCAGUUCUGGCUACACCUGAUAUUCACAAGGAAUUUGUGAUAUAUUGUGAUGCAUCGCGAACUGGACUUGUAAGUGUUCUGAUGCAAGAAGGCAGAGUCGUGGCUUACCUUUCAAGGCAACUACGGCUUCAUGAAGAGAACUAUGCUACUCAUGAUCUUGAGUUAGCAGCAGUGGUUCAUGCCCUGAAGACAUGGCGACAUUACCUCCUAGGAAAGCGGUGUGAGAUAUACACGGAUCACAAAAGCCUGAAGUAUAUUUUCACUCAAAAGGAACUGAACAUGAGGCAGAGAAGAUGGCUAGAAUUGAUCAAGGAUUAUGACCUCAGUGUUCAAUACCACCCUGGAAAGGCUAAUGUGGUAGGAGAUGCCUUAAGCAGAAAGGCUUGUUCCUUGAACGUUAUGAUGAAGGAAAGGCUACCCGCCUUGUAUGAAGAACUUGAAAGCUUCGGGUUGGAACUGGUUGCACCAGGAUUCUUGGCCAACCUCGAAGUCAAGCCUACCUUGAUGGAUGAUGUUAUGGAAGCUCAGAGGGGACACGAGAGCAUCGAAGGCAUCAAGAGGAAGAUCAAGGCAGGAAAAGCCCCAGGUUUUUCUGAGGAUAAGCAAGGAGUUGUGUGGUUUGGGAAUCGCAUUUGCGUACCCAACAAGACUGAGCUCAAGAACUUGAUCUUGCAAGAAGCUCAUGACACCCUGUAUUCCCUCCAUCCUGGAGGAACCAAGAUGUAUAAAGAUCUGAAGGAAAUAUUCUGGUGGCACGGGAUGAAGAGAGAGAUUGCCACCUAUGUUGCUAAGUGUGAUGUUUGCCAAAGGGUCAAGGCUGAAUAUCAAUGACCUGCUGGAUUGCUCCAACCACUCAAGGUUACCGAGUGGAAAUGGGAUAAAGUCGGAAUGGAUUUCAUCACUGUACUCCCUAGGUCAAACAAGGGACAUGACUCCAUCUGGGUCAUAGUCGACCAUUUGACCAAGGUAGCCCAUUUCAUUCCUAUCAAAACUACCUAUGAUGGCAACCAGCUGGCAACUAUUUACAUCAACCUAAUCGUAAGCCUUCAUGGUGUCCCUAAGGAGAUUGUGUCAGAUCGAGGAACCCAGUUUACCUCAAGGUUCUGGAAGAAGUUCCAAGAGGCUAUGGGAACCAAGUUGUCCUUCAGCACUGCCUUCCACCCACAGACGGGAGGUCAGACGGAACGAGUAAAUCAGAUACUCAAAGAUAUGCUCUGAGCCUAUGUCUUAGCAUAUGGAGCUAACUGGGAAGAUUGCCUCCCUUUUGCCGAGUUCUCCUACAACAACAGUUAUCAGUCAAGCCUCCAGAUGGCACCAUUUGAGGUGUUGUACGGACGCAAGUGUCGCACACCCCUCAAUUGGUCGGAAACCGGAGAAGGGCUAGUCUUUGGACCAGAUGUUCUCCAUGGAGUGGAAGAGCAAGUUCAGCUAGUCAGAAAGCGACUGAAGAUCGCCAAGUCAAGACAGAAGAGCUAUGCCGACACUCGUCGCUGAAAAGUGAACUUCCAAGUCGGAGACCAUGUGUACCUGUGAGUAACUCCUAUUAAAGGAACCAAGCGUUUCCACAUCAAGGGAAAGCUCGCACCAAGAUUCAUUGGCCCCUUUAAGAUCACCGCACGACGAGGAAAAGUGGCUUACCAGUUGGAACUGCCACUUGAACUAACCGACGUGCACAACGUGUUCCACGUGUCACAACUCCGGAAGUGUCUCCAAGUUCCAGACAAGCCUGAUCUCUACAAGGACGUCGACCACCAAGCCAUCCACCUACAGCCUGAUUUGACCUACCGCAAGAGGCUCAUCUGCAUUUUGGAUUAAGCAGAACAAAGUACGCGAAGCCGCACCAUCAAGUACUUCAAGGUCCAGUGGAGCAACCAUACUGAAGCAGAAGCAACCUGGGAACGUGAAGACUACCUUAGAUCCGAGUUUCCCGAUCUCUUUUAAGGCCUAGUUUAGGAAUCUCGGGGACGAGAUUCUUGUAAGGGGGGUAGGUCUGUCACACCCAGUGUUUUGUAACAAGUCACUUGCAUUAAUAAUUUUGGACCAACAAAAAACUUUUGCAUCAUUUGGCUUUUAUUUUUGGAGUUGGUUUUCUCUCUGUGAUUUUCAAGUGCUCAUUAAAGUCAACACACCUCCACCUUCUAUACUUCAUCUCCUUGCCCCCAAACUUCUUCCCAAUAAUCAUGCCAUGUGUAUAGUGCUAUAUGGUAUUUUCUUACAAAAAUAAUUUGGCCAAAUGGUAUUUUCUAAAUUUAGUUUUCAAAAAACCCCUAAAUUGAGGUUUGCACUACAAGCACUUGAUUUGGGGUAUGAAAAAUAUUUCAAAGAGUAUAUUUGAAACCUAUUGGGUAUAAGACUCCCAUAAACCACAAAAAUAUAAUUUUAAAAGAUAUUUUGCUAUUUUAGUUAAAGGCUUUUUCUUAAGGCCAGAAAUGGUUUUUAAUAGGUUAAAAUUAUUUAACUAUUUCAACAAUAUUUGAGAAAAUUCAGGAAAACUCACAGGACAUAUAUUGUCCAUAUAUAAGAGUUUCAACACAUGGUCAUGUUCAAAAUAUUGGUCAAACCCCUCAAAAACCCUUUCUGGAUAUUUCACGCUUUUGAAAUGUUUACAAAGGAAAUAUUCUCCAAAAAUCCCAAGAAGAUUCUAGCAAGUCACAUAUGCAUAAUAUGAUUACCUUGCAGAGUUUCAACUCAAUCCAAAUAGUUUUGGAUCACAUAAGUGCCCCAAAAUCCUCUGUGUCCAGAUUCAACUUUGAACAACUUUAAAUUGUCAACUUUCUUCUUUUUCUGUCAAACUUUGUGGGCACACUCAAACACACAAAUAAAGACACUGCACCAAGUGGUGGAUCAAGGAGAAGAAAAUAGCUUAGUUAGAUCUAAGCAAAUCCAUUUAUGUUGAUUUCUAGGGUUUACAAAAGUUGCAUUGGCAACUUUACCCAAAUGAACUCAAAUUUGGUGGAACACCCUAUUUCUAUAUGCCAUUUCAUCCUGUUAAGUCUCAUGGCAAGUGUAAUUCAUUUUCUUGCCCAAACCAACAACAAACACCUUUUGCCACAUUUCCAAAAACACCAUUCUGACCCCUUCCACUAAUCUCCAUGUGCUCAAAAUUUUACCGCAGCCCCUCCUAAACCCCCUCUACCACCUGUAUGCUUUUCUGCCCGAUAAAGCAAUGAUGAAGGGGGGAGAACCCCAUUUUUCUUCUCUGGACAGUGGAUUCCUCCCUCUCUCUCAGCCUCCUUCUCCCCCCUCAGCUUUCCAGAGCAUCCAAGGCUCUCUCCAGCUUUUGGCCACGCCCCCUUCAGCUGCCAGACGCAAGUGGACGCGCGAGGACGCGGGAAAACCACGGAUGCCGGCCGAAGUCGCGCUCUGGAGCGCCUGGCAGAGCACCCGACCGUUGACGCCGUGUCCCCCCACCACCUCGAGCCUCCCUAAUAACCCACAAGUAUAGGGGAUCGCAACAGUUUUCGAGGGUAGAGUAUUCAACCCAAAUUUAUUGAUUCGACACAAGGGGAGCCAAAGAAUAUUCUCAAGUAUUAGCAGUUGAGUUGUCAAUUCAACCACACCUGGAUAACUUAGUAUCUGCAGCAAAGUAUUUAGUAGCAAAGUAAUAUGGAAGUAACGGUACGGUAGCAAAAGUAAUGUUUUUGGGUUUUGUAGUGAUUGUAACAGUGGCAACGGUAAACUAAAUAAGCGAAGAACAAUAUGUGAAAAGCUCAUAGGCAUUGGAUCGGUGAUGGAGAAUUAUGCCGGAUGCGGUUCAUCAUGUAACAGUCAUAACAUAUGGUGACACAGAACUAGCUCCAAUUCAUCAAUGUAAUGUAGGCAUGUAUUCCGAAUAUAGUCAUACAUGCUUAUGGAAAAGAACUUCCAUGACAUGUUUUGUCCUACCCUCCCGUGGCAGCGGGGUCCUAAUGGAAACUAAGGGAUAUUAAGGCCUCCUUUUAAUAGAGUACCGGACCGAAGCAUUAACACACAGUGAAUACAUGAACUCCUCAAACUAUGGUCAUCACUGGGAGUGGUCCCGAUUAUUGUCACUUCGGGGUUGCCGGAUCAUAACACAUAGUAGGUGACUAAUGACUUGCAAGAUAGGAUCAAGAACUCACAUAUAUUCAUGAAAACAUAAUAGGUUCAGAUCUGAAAUCAUGGCACUCGGGCCCUUGUGACAAGCAUUAAGCAUAGCAAAGUCAUAGCAACAUCAAUCUCAAAACAUACUGGAUACUAGGGAUCAAACACUAACAAAACUAACUCGAUUACAUGAUAAAUCUCAUCCAACCCAUCACCGUCCAGCAAGCCUAUGAUGGAAUUACUCACGCACAGCGGUGAGCAUCAUGAAAUUGGUGAUGGAGGAUGGUUGAUGAUGACGAUGGCGACGGAUUCCCCUCUCCGGAGCCCCGAACGGACUCCAGAUCAGUCCUCCCGAGGGAGUUUAGGGCUUGGCGGCGGCUCCGUAUCGUAAAAUGCGAUGAAUCUUUCUCUCUGAUUUGUUUCUCCCCGAACACGAAUAUAUGGAGUUGGAGUUGAGGUCGGUGGAGCUCCAGGGGGCCAUGAGGCAGGGGGCGCGCCCCCCACCCUCAUGGAAAGGGUGUGGCCCCCUGGCCUUGAUUCUUUCGCCAGUAUUUUUUAUUAUUUCCAAAAAUAAUCUCCGUGAAGUUUUAGGUCAUUCCGAGAACUUUUGUUUCUCCACAUAAAUAACACCAUGGCAAUUCUGCUGAAAACAACGUCAGUCCGGGUUAGUUCAAUUCAAAUCAUGCAUGUUAGAGUCCAAAACAAGGGCAAAAGUGUUUGGAAAAGUAGAUACGACGGAGACGUAUCACUCCCCCGCGCGCCAGUCGAUGCCCCUCGAUGUCCGCUCCAUGCCAGCAGGACGCCCACUUGCUCCCGCGCCCUCCUCUCUCUCCUACAGCUCGCGCCAGAGCGCCGCCCCGCUCGGCCAAUGCUGGCGCCGCUCCUGUGGCCCGCCCUCAGCUCGUCCUGCUCCACCUCUCUCUCCCUGGCACCCUAGACCACUCCCACGAACACCCCCGAGCCCUCCAUUCCCUCUCUAACGGCCACCCGAGCCGAUCCCGCGGACGCCCGUAGGCCGCGCCUAUGGUGGACCUCGGCCAGCCUAUAUAAGGCGACCCCGAGCCUCUCUCUCACUCCGUGUUGCUCCCCCACACUCUUAGUCAACCUCCCGCACCACCCAUUUGUCUCCAGAGCCGCCUGAGCUCGAGAUCGAGCUCUAGCUCCGCCGCCUCGGCUCGUCGACGUUCGCGUGUUAUAGGCCUUCUCUGCCCCCGUUCUCUCUCGAUCUAGAACCACGCGACACCACUGACCCUUUACCCUCUCUUUCCCGCUCUUUUUGCAGCCGGGAACGGACAGAACCACCGACGCCCGAAGCACCUCCGCCGUGUGACCUCGUCGCCGGCAAACCAGGCUUCUCCGGCGACCACCUCCAACACCACCCGAACGGCGACAUCCCCCUGAGUCCAACGGUGCCACCCGCUCGACCUGCCGUGCCCUGUAGGGUCGCCGGUGAGCUCGCAGGCCCCUUUGUCGCAGGGUUGAAGAUGACAGGUGGGCCCCACCUAUCAUCCUCACCUCUCCCUCGCCCCUCUCUCUCUCGCUGACGCCCGGGCCCCGCCCGUCAGGUUUGAAAACCUGGCGCGCGUGCGCUGGCUCGCCUGGGCCUCCUCCCCCUCUGGGCCUGCUGCGCUGCGGCUGAUCUGGCCUAGAAGCAUAGUGCCCUUUCUCUUUUUAUUUUCUGUCCCUUUUCCAAAAAUUCCACAGGAUUGGAUAUUAAUCUAGAUGCAAUAAUUCCAGUUCCUAAAUUCUUGUAAAAAUCUCACCUAUUUAAUGGUGUAACCUUCAUAUAUGCCCAACCAACUUUUCUGUACUAUUGAAAUUAAAAUUAAAAUUUGAGCAAUUAAAUCCUUGUUUGAAAACCCAUUGCUCUGUCCCUGUAGCUCCAAAUCCAAAACUAAGGAUUUUCCCCUUCUUAGUUUUCCUCCUAGUAUUUAACAAAAAUAGGAUGACAUUUUUCUGAGCACCUUGACUUUUCUAUUUUUAUUAUUGCCUUAUUUUCCCAUUGUUUUUGUUGCGAUGAAUAGAUCCCGCGUUUGAUGAAGUAGUUGGAGAACAAGAGGGAGAAGGACUUGAAGACUUUGAAGACCAAGCCAACCAAGGCAAGCAGCCCUUUGACCAUGAUUCACCCCUCUUGUUCAUCGAUAUUUUUUUCGUAUGCAUGAUGACGUUGUUGAAUAUGGACUUGAUAUAACGGUUGCAUUGAUGCAUGCCCAUUGGUACUUGGUAGCUCUACCUUGUGCUAGAGAUGCGAUGGAAAAUACUUGAUAUUGAUGCAUGAUGUUGCAUCUAUGCCAUGACCAUCUCUUGGUUACAAUCCUUUGAAAACCCCAACGGGUGCCCCUAAUGCCCGUGGGUGAUGUUGAAUUAAGGUCACCACUUGAGGACGAAGUGGUGUACCAGAGAAAGAUUUUGUGUGAAGAGUAAAAUGAUGGAUUAGAUUUAGGUGUGAAUACCGUCCCAACCAAACAUGUGCAACCACUCUACCCCUUAUGGGACGGGGCAUUAUUCAUUACUUAGGCCGAUACUAGCAUGGUGCCCACAUUACUAGUGACGGGGGUGACAUGAGGUCACUCUCGGGACGGGGUCGUGCUCGGAUAGGCGGCCAUGACUGUUUUCACAGGGCACCGGACACACCGUUGGUCCCUUCGUGUAUGCGUGUUAAUGUGAAAGGGCAGAGUCCCACGAUCUUUUGUUUAUACACGAGGGUCGUGUACCAACAAGUGGACCCUAUGUUAGUGUCGUCUAGGGAAAGAUAAUGAUCAGGUGCUUCUCCCGAGUACUUGAGGCACUACGGGAUCGUGGAUGACAUGAAAGCUUCCCAGUUCUUGUGGGUAAAUAGCGCAACCUCUGCAGAGUGUCAAACUAUUCAAAUAGCUAUGUCCACUGUCAUGGACAGUUGGGUGGUGCUACUUAAACUAUGUCCAGAAAUUUUACGAACUUGGUACAUGUGUGUGAGAUUGAGAACCAUUUGAGUUAAUGCAGUUGACUUGACGUGUGAAAUGGGCUAGCAUUCAUCCAAACUCUAUUAUGUUGAUAUCUGUAACCUGUUCUCAAGGUUGCUAGAGUCCAUUGAUGCAUAAUUUUACAAGAUGAUAAGUCAUCCCAACUAGCUUGAUGCUAGGUUGCCUACUUGUUGAUAUACUUUGCAUUGUUACUUUGAUCCAAAACAUGGGUUCCUUGCGAGUACAUUCAAAGUACUCAUUGGCUUGCCACUGGUUAUUUAAUUGGCCAGGCAUGGAAGAGCAGGAGUUCGAAGAAGAAUUCUUCGGAGACGAACAUGCGAACUAGGACGUUUCCCAGUCAGAGUGCCUGUAGGGUUAAGGCAGAUGGCAUGGGUUCUACCUAACAACGAAGAUUUCCGCUACUUAAGUUUAUUUGGUAUUCAGCCCUUGCGGCCUUAUCUAUGUAAGACUUGACCAUAAUGGUCAUAAUUUGUGUAAGGCAGUAUGUAUGGAUUCAAGACUCUUGUUAGUCAGCUUCUGUGUGUUCAGUGAGCAUUGAUCUCUGGGAUCACUGUACACGUGCAUUCGGUGAUCACGACUUACGAGUCGGGGUCCCCACACUUAAUUCGGAAAUAUACAUGAAAAAUGCUAGGUGCACCGGGUGCAGUGCACCCGGCAAUGCACCAGAGGCUGACCGUGGGGCCAGGUCACUGGCCCAGUCAGCAGUUGACUGGUCAGUUUGACUAGUCAAAGGGGUCCAGUGGGACCCACCUUUCAAUGACUAGGCUAGUCCAGUCAGCAGUUUGACUUGGUCAAACUGGACAGGGGGUCCAUCUGUCAUUGGCUGAUAUCUAACAGAGUUUUAUUAGCUAGUUUAAUUAACAGUGAAGGCCCACAUGUUAUGCACUGAUUAGGGGGGUUUAGUGGAUUAAUCCCGAUUAGGCCCUCCAUAAUUACAUAGGGUCGGCCCACACGCAGCUGCACAGCCAGGCAGAGGCCAUGGCCGGGCCUGCACGCAUGCACGGGGAAGCGCUCGCAGCAAGCGCGCGCGGGGGCGGACGGCGGCGUGGGUAGGGGCCAGGGCGCGCGGCAGGUUGCGGGGCUGCGAGGACGAGCAUCGGCGCGAGGCAACAGUUGGAGGCGGCGGUGGGUACGGGUGAAUGGAGCGAAGGCCGAAGGAGGCGCGGGCGGUUGAGGGCGUGGCUAUGGCAGCGGGCGGCUGCGAGCGCGGGGGUGACGGGUGCUACGGGGGCGUGGCAGAGGUGCAACAGCAGCAGCAGGAGGGGCGACGAGGGCGAGCAGCGGGCGAGCCUGCGACGCGGUCGAGCGGAGGUAGGGUGCGGCCGCAAGUAUCAGCCGUAGCAGAAGCAGCAACAACAGCGACACCUAGUGGUAGCAGCAGUACUCGAGUAGUAGUGGCACGUAGCGGCAGAAGUAGGGGGCGGUCGGGGCGUGCGCGGAUGCGUGCGGCGAGGUGCAAGGGAUGAGCGAGGCGGCGGCCGGAGUGACGGCAAGGGUGGAUCUGGGGCUAGGGGGCGCGGCAAGGCGAGCGGAUGGGCUCGUCGGCCUCCUGGCAGUGCCAAGAGCACAUCGGGAACACUAGUUCAUGUAGAGGAGCACGGGGUGCUCCACCCCCGUCGGCCAUGGCGGACGGUGGAGUUCUAUGCUUACGAAUGCGGUCAUACGGCAUGAAUCUGAGCGGGAAGCAAAGGGGAAACGAAGAGGGGCUCACAGUGAGCCUGUAGAUGAGCAAGGUGGGCUCGGGGGAGGCUCGAUGACGAUGAAUCCGACGAAGGUCGCCGACGGGUGCAAGGUUGAAGACGUCGUGGAUCCGGCGAGGCAGGGGGCUCCGGCUCGAGUUCCUUGGCAUGGGCGAAGCAUCAGAGCACGUCGGAGUGGAUGGCAUGGUCCUAGGGCGCAGGGUGGUCGAGGACCGCACGGGAAGGCAUCCCAUGGUGACGGCGGCGGCGGGAGCGUGAGUGAGGACGAGGGACGAGAGGAUGGGAAGUGAGGGCGCUAGGGUCUGCCAAAGGAGUGAGGAGGCGACUUAACCGAGCAGGGGGGCGACGGAUGGAUGGCGCGUGGCGAUCCGAGACCUGGACGCACGUGCGGCGUCCACGGUGCCUAUUGUGAAUAGGAGGUUGAAGGAGGAAGGUGAGUUGGGCUGGGCCUGGUCAAUUUGCUAGAUGGGCCAAGUGCCUAGUAGAUUAGGUCUUUUGUUUUUCAUUUUAUCUUUUCCUUUUUAUUUAUUUUAUUUUUUUGUUUUCUCGUUGUUUCCUAUUGUUUUAGUUUUUUGUAAAAUAUAUACUUGGCAUCUAAUUUAGUAUUUCAAUUUACUCCCCUGUGACAAAAAAGUCUAGUCCCCAAAUAAUUUGGUUUGAUAUUUUAUUAAUUAGUAAAGUGAAAGUGCAUUAUAUCGGCUAGAGGGGGGUGAAUAGGCGAUUUUUAUGAAUUCUUCACUGAGGAAUUUGUGGGUGAGGAAAUUCCUUAGCGAAGAACUACUUGCAGCGGAAUAAGUACUCAAAAGUAUGCAUAGCAGAACACAAGCAUAGUCAUCAUGAUGAAAUGAAGACAAGCACAGAGUACAGAAAGCGUAAACACAGGAUAACACAGGAUGAAGACAAACAGACUAAAGAAAUUGAACUGAGGAAAUUGAGAAAGUCUUUAGUGAAAGUCUUCAAACACAGAUAUGAACAAGUGCACAACACAGUAAUGAGGAAAUGAAAGAGUUGAGGAAAUAGAACCAGUAGGCUUGGUGAAGACAAUGAUUUGGUAGACCAGUUCCAACUGCUGUCUCAGUUGUACGUCUGGUUGGAGCGGCUAGGUAUUUAAACCUGAGGACACACAGUCCUUACCGUAUUCUCCUUGAGCUAAGGUCACACAGACCUCGCCCAGUCACUCGUGGUAAGUCUUCAGGUGACUUCCAAACCUUCACAAACCCGGUCACUCGGCGAUCCACAAUUCCUCUUGGAUGCUCUAGACCAUGACGCCUAACCGUCUGGAAGAAGCACAAUCUUCAAAGGUAACAAGCGUCGGAUCCACGCACGAUCAAUCUCUUCAGUGAUGCUCAAUCGCUUUGGGUUUGUAGGUGUUUGGAUUUGGGUUUUCCUCACUUGAUGAUUUUCGCUCAAAGUCUUCGGAGGAUGGGAUGCUCUCAAGCUUACCAUUGAGGAAUGCACUUUUCACAUCCAUUUGAUAUAAAGUGAUAUCAUGAUGGUUAGCAUAAGCAAGUAAUAUGCGAAUAGCUUCAAGUCUAGCAACAGGUGCAAAAGUUUCAUCGAAAUCAAUUCUUUCAACAUGUGUGUAGCCUUGAGCUACAAGCCGUGCCUUAUUCCUCACCACAAGGCCAUUUUCAUCUUGCUUGUUGCAUUAGAUCCACUUUGUGCCAAUGAUAUUGUGUUUGUGAGGAUCUGGACGAUUGACCAGUUCCCAGACGUUGUUGAGCUUGAACUGAUGUAAUUCUUCUUGCAUGUCCUGAAUCCACUCAGGCUCCAUAAAUGCUUCAUCUACCUUAGUGGGCUCUAAGAUAGAGACAAAAGCAUAGUGCCCACAAAAUUUAGAUAAAUGUGAAGCUUUUGAGCGUGUGAGAGGACCUGGUGCUUUAAUGUCAUCGAUGAUCUUUUCAACUUGCACUUCUUUUGCAACGCGAGGAUGAGUAGGUUGUCGUGGAGGAAUUUGAUCAGCAUUUUCUUCAGCACCAUUUUCUUCAGCAUUUUCUUCAGGUGCAUUAGCUCGACGUUCUUCACGUUCUGGAAUGAAUUCUUCAGCAGAUUCUUCAGUAGGAAUGACAUCCUCAGUAGCCUUGAACUUGAUAGUUUCCUCAGGUGCUGGUUCAUCUAUCACAGAGGGUAGGUGCUCUCUUUGCGAGCCAUUAGUUUCAUCGAACCGCACAUCUACAGUUUCAACAACCUUGUGAAGAACGUUGUGAAGACUCUGUAGGUGUGCGAGUCCUUUCCGUAACCAAGCAUAAAACCUUCAUGUGCUUUCACUACAAAUUUAGCAUUGUGAUGAGGAUCUCUAACCCAACAUUUAGCACCGAAGACUUUGAGAUAACUCACAUUGGGUUUCUUGUCAGUGAGGAGUUCAUAGGCAGUCUUCUUGAAGAAUUUGUGAAGAUAUACCCUGUUGAUGAUGUGGCAUGCAGUAUAAAUUGCCUCAAUCCAGAAGUGACGAGGCGUCUUGUACUCAUCAAGCAUAGUGCGAGCCAUCUCAACAAGAGUUCUGUUCUUGCGCUCCACGACGCCAUUCUGCUAAGGAGUGUAAGGAGCAGAUAACUCAUGAGUAAUACCAAGUUCAUCAAGAUAGUCAUCAAGACUAGAAUCCCUGAACUCAGUUCCAUUGUCACUUCUGAUGUGCUUGAUCUUCAUACCAAAGUUGGUUCAAGCCCUCGAGAAAAAUCGUUUGAAGACUUCCUGCACUUCAUGUUUGUAAGUAACAAUGUGUACCCAUGUAUAUUGAGAGUAAUCAUCAACAAUAACAAAGCCAUAGAGAGAUGCAUCAUUUGUGACAUCUGAGUAAUGAUUAGGACCAAAGAGGUCCAUGUGAAGUAAUUCGAAUGGUCGAGUAGUGGUCAUGAUAGUCUUCGCUGGAUGCUUAGCCUUGGUCAUCUUUCCAGCUUCACAGGCUCGGCACAAGUGAUCCUUGAGGAAUUUGACAUUCUCAAUGCCAAUGACAUGCUUCUUCUUCGCAAGCGUGUGCAAAUUCCUCAUGCCUGCAUGACCAAGUCGUCGAUGCCAUAGCCACCCUUCUGAAGCUUUUGCAUGUAGGCACACGGCUGGUUGCGGUCCUAUAGAGAAAUGAACAAUAUACAAAUCUCCUCUCCUAAAUCCUUCGAAGACUUUGGAAUUGUCAACUUCCAUAACCACAAGACAACGAUGUUUGCCAAAGACAACAACCAUAUCAAGAUCACAAAGCAUUGAGACAGACAUGAGGUUGUAUCCUAAGGACUCGACAAGCAUGACUUUGUCCAUGUGUCCAUCCUUUGUGAUCGCAACCUUACCUAGACCCAAUACCUGACUUUUGCCUUUGUCAGAGAAGAUGAUAUGCUUCAUAUGCGAUGGUGAUAAGGGAGCAUCCAUCAGUAGAUUCUUGUCACCAGUCAUGUGAUUUGUACAUCCACUAUCGAGGACCCACUCAGUGGCUUUGGGUUGAUCAUCCUGCAGAUGAAUUAGUGCAGCUUACGACCUCAUAUACUUCAUCAGUGAAGAAUAUGACAUCACAAUUCAUCAGACCAAUUUCAUCAAGCAAUAGAACAUAUAAGCAGUAUGAGGAUGUGAGAAAUGAAAGUUCAUUUCUUCAUGAUUAGCCUGCGUCCUUUCAGGUACUUUUUAGGUCUCCAUCAAAUUCUUCAGACGUUGAAGUAUGUCUGGAGACCUGACCCUGCAAAAAAGAUUAGUUCUUUUUCUUCACCACCCACAUCUGAAGGGGUGGCAAAGAAUUCAUCACUCUGCGAGCUCCAUACGAAAAAGGUGGCAUAGAAGCCAAUCCAUUUCGUUUCGCAUAAGAGAAGUUAGGGUAAGCAUAUGAAUAAGCAGAGAAAUUCUUCGAGGAGUUAUGAACAUAAUGAUUAGAAGAAUAAUGCUCAUAUUUAUAGCCCUUAGCUCUUCCCUGCGAAACAGAGUUGUUAGCACGAUGAUGUUGAUAUGAGGACUUUGAUCCUUUUGAGGAAUAUGAUCCAUGUGAGGAAUUUGAUCAAUAUGAAGAAUUUGGUCCAUAUGAUGAAUUUGAUCUGGGGUUCCUAUUCUUCACAGGUGGUGUCAUGAGGACAUUCACCUGAAGACUUUCAAGGCACCUUUUGGGAACCCAGAUUUUCUUCAUAGGAGAACCGUUCCUGCAGUUAGUGCCAACAUAUCUAGCAAAUACUUCACCAUUCUGAUUUUUGAACAGUUUAUAGUUGGAGUCAAAUGACUCAUCAGAAGAAUGAGAAGAUUCAUAUGUAAAGCCAGAUAAAUUAGAUGGAUCAACUGGAGGUCCCUUUGCAGCAACCCAUGAGGUUUUGGGGUACUGCCCAGGCUUCCAAUAUGUACCAUCAGCAUUGAGUUUCCUCUCAAAGGCAAUACCUUCUUUCCUAGGGUUCUUGUUGAGGAUCUGCUUUUUAAGCACAUCACAAAGAGUCUGAUGCCCUUUGAGGCUUUUGUACAUGCCUGUCAUGUACAAUUCCUUCAGCCCUGCAUCGUCAGUGAUACUAGCAAUGUCCUCAGAUGAGGAAUUAGUGAUAGCAGAGACAGUUGAAGAAUUUGUAGCAUUAGAAGCAUUUGAACAUUCAGGUGAAGAAUUAGCAGAUUCACGUUCAAUGCACUUCAAACAUGGAGGAACAAAUUCUUCCUGAGUAGCGCUGAUUUGUUGAGCAAGUAAUGAAUCACGCUCCUUAUGAAGAUCUUCAUAACUCACUCUUAGCUUCUCAAGAUCUUGCUUUCUUUGAAGAAAUUCAUAAGAAAGCUUCUCAUGAUCAAACAAGAGAGUGUUAUGAUGACCUUGAAGGUUGUCAAAUCUAGUCUGAAGUCUCUGAUGAUUUUCAGUCAAGGUUUUAGUGCGAUCCAUUUCUUCACCCAACAUAUCAUCACUGUUGUCUAGCAUGUUUUGAACCUUUUCAAAAGCCCCUUGUUGUUUCACAGCAAUCUUAGCAAGUUUAGAAUAGCUGGGCUUAAGGUUUUCAUCAGAUUCAUUCUCACUUGAUUCAGAGGAGGUAUAUUUGAGUACCUUGGCACCCUUUGCCAUGAAGCAAUAGGUGGGAGUGUAGUCAUCAUUGCCUUCAUCAGCCUUGUUGGUGAGAUCAUUUUCUUCAGUGUUGAAGAUAGACUUGCUGACGAAUGCAGUAGCGAGGGCUAGGCUCGCCACACCGGAUUCGGAAUCCUCAGAUGCCUCCUCUUCCUCAUUUUCUUCAGAUUCAGCAUCAGAGUCCAUUUCCUUGCCAAUGAAUGCCCGAGCCUUCUUGGAGGUGCUCUUCUUGUGAGAUGAAUACUUUGAGGAUUUUGAUGAUGAAGAUUUUGAGGAUUUCUUCUUUUUCUUCACAUCAUCAGAACUAUAAUCCUCGUAUUUCUUCUUAUUUGAUUCCUUUUCCCACUGAGGACAAUCUUGAAUGUAGGGUCCUGGUUUCUUGCAUUUGUGACAAAGCCUCUUCUUGUAGUCACUGGAUGAGGAAUCAUUGCUCCUUAAGGGUCUUCCAAAGCGACCACGUCUUCAGAACUUCUAGAAUUUCUUCACGGGCAGUGCUAGAUCAUGGCUCAGUUCUUCAGGAUCACCAAGACUGCUAUCAGAGUCUUCAUCUUCAGACUCAGAAACUGCCUUGGCCUUCAGUGCACGUGAUCUGCCAUUGCUCGAACCAAAGAGAUCUCUCUUUUCAGCAAGCUGGAACUCAUGAGUAUUUAGCCUCUCAAGGAUAUCAGCGGGAUCAAGUGACUUGUAAUCAGCAUGCUCUUGUAUCAUCAAUGCCAGAGUAUCAAAUGAGGAAUCAAGCAAUCUCAGCAGUUUCUUCACCACCUCAUGGUCGGUGAUGUCAGUGGCACCGAGCGCUUGAAGCUCAUUUCAGAUGUCAGUGAGGCGAUCGAAGGUUUGUUGAACAUUUUCAUUGUCGAGUAUUUUGAAGCGGUUGAAGAGAUUGCGAAGAACAUCAACUCGAGAGUCACGCUGUGUUGAGACUCCUUCAUUGACUUUGGACAGCCUAUCCCAGAUAAGCUUAGCAGUUUCCAAAGCACUCACUCUUCCAUACUGUCCUUUGCUCAGAUGGCCACAUAUGAUAUUCUUCGCUUGAGAAUCGAGUUGCUUGAAUCUCUUCACAUCAGUAGCGUUCAGUGAGGGUGAGACAGAGGGAACACCAUUUUCCACAACAUACCAGAGAUCGUUAUCAAUUGCCUCAAGAUGCAUUCACAUCUUAUUCUUCCAGUAGGGGUAGUCCAUCCCAUCGAAGGUAGGACACCCAGCAGAGACCUUGAUCAUACCUGCAGUCGACAUAACUAAAACUCCAGGCGGUUAAACCAAAAUCACACAGAACAAGGGAGCACCUUGCUCUGAUACCAAUUGAAAGUGCGUUAUAUCGACUAGAGGGGGGUGAAUAGGCGAUUUUUAUGAAUUCUUCACUGAGGAAUUUGUGGGUGAGGAAAUUCCUUAGCAAAGAACUACUUGCAGCGGAAUAAGUACUCAAAAGUAUGCAUAGCAGAACACAAGCAUAGUCAUCAUGAUGAAAUGAAGACAAGCACAGAGUACAGAAAGCGUAAACACAGGAUAACACAGGAUGAAGACAAACAGACUGAAGAAAUUGAACUGAGGAAAUUGAGAAAGUCUUCAGUCAAAAUCUUCAAACAAAGAUAUGAACAAGUGCACAACACAGUAAUGAGGAAAUGAAAGAGUUGAGGAAAUAGAACCAGUAGGCUUGGUGAAGACAAUGAUUUGGUAGACCAGUUCCAACUGCUGUCUCAGUUGUACGUCUGGUUGGAGCGGCUAGGUAUUUAAACCUGAGGACACACAGUCCCGGGCACACAGUCCUCACCGUAUUCUCCUUGAGCUAAGGUCACACAGACCUCGCCCAAUCACUCAUGGUAAGUCUUAAGGUGACUUCCAAACCAUCACAAACUCGGUCACUCGGCGAUCCACAAUUCCUCUAGGAUGCUCUAGACCAUGACGCCUAACCGUCUGGAAGAAGCACAGUCUUCAAAGGUAACAAGCGUCGGAUCCACGCAGGAUCAAUCUCUUCAGUGAUGCUCAAUCACUUUGGGUUUGUAGGUGUUUGGGUUUGGGCUUUCCUCACUUGAUGAUUUUCGCUCAAAGUCUUCGGAGGAUGGGAUGCUCUCAAAUGACAAGUGUCAGUUUCUCUCGGAGCAGCCAACCAGCUAGUGGUUGUAGGGGGGCGGCUAUUUAUAGCCUAUGGAGCAGCCCGACAUGAUAAGACAUAAAUGCCCUUCAAUGAUAUGACCGUUAGGUGGGUAGAUAUUUUGGGACAGCUGGCGCAUAGCACAGCAACGGUUGGAAAUUUGAGUAUCAAAUUCCUCAGGGCUAUCAUGUUCCUCACUGUGUAGGCAAUCCGCACUGGCGAAUUCCUAACUCCUCAGUCAGAACAAAUUCCUCAGAGACCAGAAGAACUUCGUCUCUGUCAUUGAAGAAUAUGACUGAACUAUAUGAGAUUUCCAAUGGCUUCACUUGAAGGGAUUGGUAGGUGUAGGAUUUUGAGUUGAGCAUCACAUGGAAAUUUUUCCUUAGUAUUUCCUCGACCCCCUUUAACAGUACGGUGUUUCUGAUGACUCAAGAAAGAGAAAAUGAAACUACGAAAACAAAAGUCUUCACGCUUCAUGUUCCUCAAAUGAAUACCAAGUCUUCAAGGUCACACCAAUUUCUUCACUUUCAAAGUCUUCAGAAAUCCAAAGUUUCAGUCGAAGAACUUCAUUUUUAGGGGUCGACUUUCACUGUAAAUAUCAAACUCCUCAUAGACUUAUAGACCUGUGUACACUUAUAAACACAUUAGUCCCUUAACCUAUAAGUCUUCAAUACACCAAAAUCACUAAGGGGCACUAGAUGCACUUACAUAAAGGCAUUUAUAAUUAUGUUUGCUACUACUUAAAUCAUUUUAGUGCAGUUAAGCAUUCCAUAAAAGUUUGGUUUCACCACCAUAAUCACCUAUGCAUUAUCUGGCAUGACCCGAACAUUUUAGUUUCAUUGUUUGAAAACUUUUGUUGUUU
rnacentral:lncRNA from 1 species